GAUCAAGCGACUAAGUGCAUAUGGUGGAUGCCUUGGCGAUCACAGGCGAUGAAGGACGUAGUAGCCUGCGAAAAGCUACGGGGAGCUGGCAAACAAGCUUUGAUCCGUAGAUGUCCGAAUGGGGAAACCCACUCCGCAAGGAGUAUCCCUGGCUGAAUACAUAGGCCAGUGGAAGCGAACCGGGUGAACUGAAACAUCUCAGUAGCUCGAGGAAAAGAAAUCAACCGAGAUUCCGAAAGUAGUGGCGAGCGAAAUCGGAAGAGCCUUUACGUUUUAGCA
rnacentral:rRNA from 1 species